rnacentral:piRNA from 1 species
UAGAAUAGUCAUGCGACCUGUUGAAUUAGG